rnacentral:rRNA from 1 species
AUUGAACGCUGGCGGCAUGCCUUACACAUGCAAGUCGAACGGCAGCAUGAUCUAGCUUGCUAGAUUGAUGGCGAGUGGCGAACGGGUGAGCAAUACAUCGGAACGUGCCCUGUAGUGGGGGAUAACUAGUCGAAAGAUUAGCUAAUACCGCAUACGACCUGAGGGUGAACGUGGGGGACCGCAAGGCCUCAUGCCAUAGGAGCGGCCGAUGUCUGAUUAGCUAGUUGGUGAGGUAAAGGCUCACCAAGGCGACGAUCAGUAGCUGGUCUGAGAGGACGAUCAGCCACAUUGGGACUGAGACACGGCCCAGACUCCUACGGGAGGCAGCAGUGGGGAAUUUUGGACAAUGGGGGCAACCCUGAUCCAGCAAUGCCGCGUGUGUGAAGAAGGCCUUCGGGUCGUAAAGCACUUUUGUCCGGAAAGAAAUCGCACUUACUAAUAUUAGGUGUGGAUGACGGUACCGGAAGAAUAAGGACCGGCUAACUACGUGCCAGCCGCCGCCGUAAGAC